AUUGAACGCUGGCGGCAUGCCUAACACAUGCAAGUCGAACGGCAGCACGGCAGUAGCAAUACUGUGGGUGGCGAGUGGCGGACGGGUGAGGAAUACGUCGGAAUCUGCCCAGUCGUGGGGGAUAACUAGCCGAAAGGUUAGCUAAUACCGCAUACGACCGAGAGGUGAAAGCGGGGGACCGCAAGGCCUCGCGCGAUUGGAUGAGCCGACGUCGGAUUAGCUAGUUGGUGGGGUAAAGGCCCACCAAGGCGACGAUCCGUAGCUGGUCUGAGAGGAUGAUCAGCCACACUGGGACUGAGACACGGCCCAGACUCCUACGGGAGGCAGCAGUGGGGAAUAUUGGACAAUGGGCGCAAGCCUGAUCCAGCAAUGCCGCGUGUGUGAAGAAGGCCUGCGGGUUGUAAAGCACUUUUGUUCGGGAAGAAAUCAUGUCGGUUAAUACCCGAUGUGGAUGACGGUACCGAAAGAAUAAGCACCGGCUAACUUCGUG
rnacentral:rRNA from 1 species